rnacentral:misc_RNA from 1 species
UCGGAGAAAGAAAAUUCAUCAAUCCAUCAGUAUUUUCCCUCCUACUCCAUCACCUUAAAGAGGGUGUGACACGAAAACGUACACCCAUGUUUAAUAAUAUGAAUCAAAUCCUUUUUCAUUGGGUAUUACUCUGUUUUACAUAAAAAGUCGUCUUUGCUGGGAUCUGCUUCUAUAAUCGGGAACGAGCGGUGUAUGUUUCCCUAGG